rnacentral:rRNA from 1 species
GCCUAUGGCCAUGCUACCCUGAACAAGCCCAAUCCUGUCUGAUCUUGGAAGCUAAGCAGGGUCGGGCCUGGUUAGUACUUGGAUAAGAGGCCACCUAGGAAGACCAGGUACUGUAGAUG